GAGGGUAUAGCUUAGUUGUAGAGCACAUGCUUAGCAUGCACGCGGUCCUGUGUUCAAUCCCCAGUACCUCCA
rnacentral:tRNA from 1 species